rnacentral:lncRNA from 1 species
AUGCUCAAAAUUCUUGAAGCCAGGCUUCAGCAAUACGUGAACCAUGAACUUCCUGAUGUUCAGGCUGCUUUUAGAAAAGGCAGAGGAACCAGAGAUCAAAUUCUCAACAUCCGCUGGAUCAAGGAAAAAGCAAGGGAGUUCCAGAAAAACACCUAUUUCUGCUUUAUUGACUAUGGCAAAGCCUUUGACUGUGUGGAUCACAAUAAACAGUGGAAAAUUCUGAGAGAGAUGGGAAUACCAGACCACCUGACCUGCCUCUUGAGAAAUCUGUAUGCAGGCCAGGAAGCAACAGUUAGAACUGGACAUGGAACAACAGACUGGUUCCAAAUAGGAAAAGGAGUACAUCAAGGCUGUAUAUUGUCAUCCUGCUUAUUUAACUUCUAUGCAGAGUACAAAAUGAGAAACACUGGACUGGAAGAAACACAAGCUGGAAUCAAGAUUGCAGGGAGAAAUAUCAAUAACCUCAGAUAUGCAGAUGACACCAUGCUUAUGGGAGAAAGUGAAGAGGAACUAAAAAGCCUCUUGAUGAAAGUGAAAGUGGAGAGUGAAAAAGUUGGCUUAAAGCUCAACAUUCAGAAAACGAAGAUCAUGGCAUCUGGUCCCAUCACUUCAUGGCAAAUAUAUGGGGAAACAGCGGAAACAGUGUCAGACUUUAUUUUGGGGGGCUCCAAAAUCACUGCAGAUGUUGACUGCAGCCAUGAAGUUAAAAGACACUUACUCCUUGGAAGAAAAGUUAUGACCAACCUAGAUAGCAUAUUCAAAAGCAGAGACAUUACUUUGCCAACAAAGGUCCGUCUAGUAAAGGCUAUGGUUUUUCCAGUGGUCAUGUACGGAUGUGAGAGUUGGACUGUGAAGAAAGCUGAGUGCCGAAGAAUUGAUGCUUUUGAACUGUGGUGUUGGAGAAGACUCUUGAGAGUCCCUUGGACUGCAAGGAGAUCCAACCAGUCCAUUCUGAAGGAGAUCAGCCCUGGGAUUUCUUUGGAAGGAAUGAUACUAAAGCUGAAACUCCAGUACUUUGGCUACCUCAUGUGA